rfam:Trichobilharzia regenti genome assembly, scaffold: TRE_scaffold0010960
AUCCAGAUGACGAGUCCCUAAUAGGACAAAAUGUGCAUCUUGGAU